rnacentral:sRNA from 12 species
GCGCCCUAUGGCAAGGCUACUUAUAUUUCAUCAUAACUACCAUAGAAAAAGUUAUCGUAAAGGAGUUAUGAUAUAAU